rnacentral:misc_RNA from 1 species
GGCAUUACCGGAGAAUCAUUAUCUCCAAGAACUUCAAAUCCCAUUUUCUGUAGCUCAGACCUAAAAAAGUUACUGUUUUCACGUAUCCUAGCAAGUUUCUGAGCACCUCUACUAGAACCAUCCUCUCCAAGAAUAACUUUAAUGGAAGAUAUGAUUUGCUGAGCAGCCGGUGGUGAUAUAGACGUUGCAUAGAGGUGAGCAGGACAAGUGUACUUGAGAUAUUUUAUAAGCUCCU